rnacentral:rRNA from 1 species
AUUGAACGCUGGCGGCAUGCCUUACACAUGCAAGUCGAACGGCAGCACGGGAGCAAUCCUGGUGGCGAGUGGCGAACGGGUGAGUAAUAUAUCGGAACGUGCCCAGUCGUGGGGAUAACGUAGCGAAAGCUACGCUAAUACCGCAUACGAUCUAUGGAUGAAAGCGGGGGAUCGCAAGACCUCGCGCGAUUGGAGCGGCCGAUAUCAGAUUAGGUAGUUGGUGAGGUAAAGGCUCACCAAGCCGACGAUCUGUAGCUGGUCUGAGAGGACGACCAGCCACACUGGGACUGAGACACGGCCCAGACUCCUACGGGAGGCAGCAGUGGGGGAAUUUUGGACAAUGGGCGCAAGCCUGAUCCAGCAAUGCCGCGUGCAGGAUGAAGGCCUCGGUUGUAA